AACCUUGGAUUUCAGACUCCACGUCCUGAGAUCCAGGGACUGCAGCAGACACACAGCGUUACCGUCGUCAUGCCAACAGGCAGCAGGUGAUUCCCCCCCUUCAGCGCCGGCGCUGCUCCCAACCCUGUUGGCAACCCAAAGACAGGGCGUUUAAAUCGGACCGAAUGACCCAGGAAGCUGGUUCCCCAUCAGAACCUAACCCCAGAGCAGAACCUUAAAGGUAAAGAUCAUUUGGGACACAGCAGGCAGCCAUCAGACCCAAUAAAACCCACUGAGGUUUGGAGUGUGAAUACUUUUACAGGCUCCAGGACCUGUGAGCAGCGCCUCCUUCAGGUUGGUUAUCGAACAAUGGGAAUAAAUAAAUUCUGCAAUUUGACCUUUAUUACAAGAAGAAGAAGAAAAAAACUUUUUUGGUGUCAUUUUUAUAACUGUUAGCAGCUGAUUAGAAUAUUUCAAAUAAUACAUGACCUUUAAACCCAAAUCUCUGUUGGAGAAAUGGAUGAAGUUCAAACUAUCUCUUCCAUCCAUCAUAUCCCCUACUCCAACAUCUUUCUAACCGUACUGCCAGACAGAGGAGAUGUGAUGAUGUCAUCCAGGAUGUGUGGAUUAUUAUCUCUGAUGCCUGGAUAUUAAGCGUCAGGGAAGUCUCCAGUCAGAGGGAUCUUCAGAUUAGGUAGACAGACUGCUACUGGAGAUCCCUCCAGCCCACAGCAACAUUUCCUUUUGGGAAAAGUGUUGUAGAAUUUAAAUAAAUGGAAAAAGGAGCUUCAACUGAAGCCAAAACAUUUUCACUGUUUUAUUAAAGUACAGACAUGAAAUACAUGAAAACAGAACAGAAACCUGCAGAGUGACUGAUGUGGUUUACAGGCAGACGUCACCAGGAGGAGGAACCCAGAGGACCAUGAACUGAACUCCAAACAUUUUCUCUACAAACUACAAGCUCAAAACAUUUAAGAAUAAAAUAAAACGGAUAUUUAAGAAGGUAAAACAGAAAUUAACUUAAACCAAAACAAUCCUAACAAACAACCUCACACAUAAACAUGAGGUCAAAUCUUUAUAUUAAAUGUAUAAAGUUUAUAAUCUAAAGUUUCUACCUGUGGUAUAUUCUAGUUUCAGUGGUUCUACAUACACAGCUAAGAUGCAUUUUAUUGAUUAAAGACAUAAAGCUGACAAAAGUUGCCAUGAUUACAAGUUGAAUGUUUGUGAACCAGCGGAAAGGGGGUGGAGCUUCUGAUGCAGAGCAGAGUCUGGUUUUAUAGCGCCCCCUGCCUGGUCCAUUAGCUUCCACUACAUACCGUGUUAGUGUAGUGCCUUAGUGCUCUGCUACCGCUUUAGAGUUAGCACAGCUAACUUUUUACUUAGCAGUUCCUACCACUGGUUUUAUGCAACAUUAUUUAGAGGUACAACGCUUUGUUCCAACCAUGGGUCAAUGUUUUCAGAAGUUGGGGACAUUUCUUAACAUCUUUGAGAUCCAAAGAUUCAACUUUUUUCUCUUUGGUAAUUAAUAUCAAAAUCUCUCAUUCUUCAAUUGGCCCAAACUGGGAUCAGAACAGCAAUCUGGGAAGGUCUGUAAAGUUUUUUUAGGAAAAAAAUACAGAAUUUAAUAAAAUUAUAUAUGCUAUGAUGACUUACAAUUAUCCCUAUAGAUCAUCCAAAACACACGACUAUGAAGACAAAUAAAGUGGCUAGGAGUAUCUACAUGGAGGACCAGCUGAUAAACCAAACACACCACGGUGGUGCUGAUGGUAGAACGGUUGACUGGGUUUGAGUCCCGACCUGGAGACCUUUCUGUACGACUCCCUGUGGAUACGGAGGUUCUCUCCAGGUACUCUGGCUCCCACGGCCCAAAAUGUGUUUACUCCAAGUUUCCUUUAGCUCUGCAUGUGCAUGAUUGGGUGUCCAGGAAUGGACUGGAGACUUGUCCAGAGUGACAGCCCAAUGACAUUUUGAAAUCUUCACUUAUCUGUCAAAAUAAAAGUAUCUGAUUCACCUUGCUAAAGGUUGCAUACAGAGGUGUCAUCCCCUGUACCAACCAGUGUAAUACUACACUAGUGAAGUAUUGAUCCAUAGCUGCUUUGCUGUGACGCACUAGUUGGCAAACAUUGUACCUCUUGUGGCACGUAAAAGUUAGUACCAAGGAUUGUCUUGGAUUUCAGGUUCACCAGUUUAUUCAACUCUGACAAGACAAUUAAUGCACAAAACCCAAUAACUCCAAAGUACACAGCAACAGUAUUUACAUGGACUCAGCCACAGCGGU